rnacentral:rRNA from 1 species
CAGUCGCCGCGGUAAUACAGAGGGUGCGAGCGUUAAUCGGAUUUACUGGGCGUAAAGCGUGCGUAGGCGGCUUUUUAAGUCGGAUGUGAAAUCCCUGAGCUUAACUUAGGAAUUGCAUUCGAUACUGGGAAGCUAGAGUAUGGGAGAGGAUGGUAGAAUUCCAGGUGUAGCGGUGAAAUCCGUAGAGAUCUGGAGGAAUACCGAUGGCGAAGGCAGCCAUCUGGCCUAAUACUGACGCUGAGGUACGAAAGCAUGGGGAGCAAACAGGAUUAGAUACCCCAGUAGUCCCUGUCUCUUAUAC